GGGGAGUAUAUGCCUAUUUUCUAUUGUCAGUUAUGCUUGAUGAAUUUUGCAAGCAUUGAAACCACAUUUGAAUGAAGUUUUUAUGAAAAGAUGAUGCUACAAAGAAAACAACCGCAAUUAUAUACAUUGAUCAACAUCAUUCAUUCAUAUCCAAGCAUAAACGCACAUAAGGAGAUCAUGCGUUCACAUAUAUGAGUAAGACCAUGGAGCUUAAAUAUGAAGACUUACCUUCGCAACUUCCAG
rnacentral:lncRNA from 1 species